AACGAACGCUGGCGGCAUGCCUAACACAUGCAAGUCGAACGAGAUCUUCGGGUCUAGUGGCGCACGGGUGCGUAACGCGUGGGAAUCUGCCCUUUGAUUCGGAAUAACAGUUGGAAACGACUGCUAAUACCGGAUGAUGACGAAAGUCCAAAGAUUUAUCGCCAGAGGAUGAGCCCGCGUAGGAUUAGCUAGUUGGUGUGGUAAAGGCGCACCAAGGCGACGAUCCUUAGCUGGUCUGAGAGGAUGAUCAGCCACGCUGGGACUGAGACACGGCCCAGACUCCUACGGGAGGCAGCAGUGGGGAAUAUUGGACAAUGGGCGAAAGCCUGAUCCAGCAAUGCCGCGUGAGUGAUGAAGGCCUUAGGGUUGUAAAGCUCUUUUACCCGGGAUGAUAAUGACAGUACCGGGAGAAUAAGCUCCGGCUAACUCCGUGCCAGCCGCCGCUGUAA
rnacentral:rRNA from 1 species